rnacentral:lncRNA from 1 species
CAAAUGCUGGCUAUAGCCAAUCAAGUUGUAUAACCUGUGCUUGUGGAGAGUUUGGGUGUGUUGAACCAUCUUUCAUGUGGAGUACUGCUGCUGUGUUCCCGAACUUUUUUUCUCAUUCACAUCAACUUUGUAAAUUUAACUGCUUUCGGGUUUUUAACCGUUUGGUGUAUAGCUGGCCAAUUGGAAGAAGGAGCUUGGAUCUUGUUUGGUACCCGCCAGGCCCCUCGAGCCCAUUGAUCUCUACUCGGCAACCAGAGCACCUGAUGGAUUUCAUUCAGCUUCCAUACUUGAUGGGGUACCAUGUGUAUGGAUAAUAGUUUGUGUGCUUUCUGGUUGGAUAGAAGCUUUCCCAU